AUGAGUGAGGAGACAAAGCUAGGGAGCCAGGUGUGGUGGCAGCAGCCUGUCGCCCCAGCCACCCGGGACAGCAACAGCAGCAGAGAGAGAAGGGUGUGGUUUGAGCAGGAACACACGGCCCAGCUGCCUACCGCCUGUUGUGCAAGGGGACCCGUGCCAUGCGGGCUGUGGGGGCUUCCGCCCCUGCUGGGCAGCCCGGGUUUGUCCUCUAAGCUGGCAGGGAGCGUGGCAUUCGGAGCACGUGGGACCCGGGUGGACAUCACCAUCACCGGGGAGAGGGGGAGCGAAUGUCAGCGACCGACAGGAGACGCUGUCCAGGUGCUGAGGACGCAGGUGGCCUGGCCCAGCUGCAGUCCUCCGCAGGUGUUGAGGUGCAGUUCGGCUUGCUCAGCGCUGGGAGAAAGGGCUGUCAGCGAGAUUUACAGUCCAGUCUUCAGAGGGCUCACAGCGACCCUCAGAGAGCUCGCUUGGCCCCAGCCAAGGUUGCACAUAGUCUUCCUCACCGUCAUGAGCAGAGACAGAGCUGGCAUCGGUGUGACUCUCUUCCCCUGGAGCCAAAGCAUCGAUCUUGGCUUCACUUGCACUUCCAAGGUCUAGAGGUAACAAUCAUUUCUCCCUUUAACAACUGGAGAAACAGCGAAUCUACAGAACCAGCACUCAGAAACUGAACUACCAACUUGAUUCACGGCAAAGCCGUUGCAGAACCUGGGGCCGCCUGUCCACAGCCACCCCCGGGGAUCUGGCCACCAUGAUUGCGCUGCAGCUGCCAGCAGGCCACAGUUGCACCUGGCUCCCAGCCUGCGCGCUUGGUCACCACAUUAUUCUGCUCCUCCGUACACGCACACAUGCACAUGUAGAAGGGACAGGAAAGGCCGUGAGGAACCAAAUGCUACUCAGAGUGUCAGUGACUUCUCCAAGCACAGUGCUAGAGCAGCCAAAUGAUCCUGGGAUUAGAGAGACAAACCUGAAAAAUCAGGAGAGACGUGGAUUCUACCUGGGCUCCCCUUAAUCCAUAAGAGUUGAUGCCUUGCCAGAAAGGAA
rnacentral:lncRNA from 1 species